UACGUAGGCAGCGAGCGUUGUUCGGAGUUACUGGGCGUAAAGCGUGCGUAGGCGGUGGACCAAGUCUGGUGUGAAAUCUCCCGGCUCAACCGGGAGGGUGCGCCGGAAACUGGUUUGCUGGAGUAUGGGAGAGGCAGGCGGAAUUCCUGGUGUAGCGGUGAAAUGCGUAGAUAUCAGGAGGAACACCCGUGGUGCAGACGGCCUGCUGGACCAUCACUGACGCUGAGGCACGAAAGCGUGGGUAGCAAACAGG
rnacentral:rRNA from 1 species